AAUAUUGGACAAUGGGCGAAAGCCUGAUCCAGCCAUGCCGCGUGAGUGAUGAAGGCCUUAGGGUUGUAAAGCUCUUUCGCCGAGGACGAUAAUGACGGUACUCGGAUAAGAAGCCCCGGCUAACUUCGUGCCAGCAGCCGCGGUAAUACGAAGGGGGCUAGCGUUGUUCGGAAUUACUGGGCGUAAAGCGUAUGUAGGCGGGUCGUUAAGUUAGGGGUGAAAUCCCAAGGCUCAACCUUGGAACUGCCCUUGAUACUGGCGAUCUUGAGUCCGGGAGAGGUGAGUGGAACUGCGAGUGUAGAGGUGAAAUUCGUAGAUAUUCGCAAGAACACCAGUGGCGAAGGCGGCUCACUGGCCCGGUACUGACGCUGAGAUACGAAAGCGUGGGGAGCAAACAG
rnacentral:rRNA from 1 species